ACCAACUGGGCUCGCUCAUAAGCGCUCGGCCACAGUAGGAUCGGUAUAUAACUUACCAUCUGAUCAGAGGUUGUCCAAUAGGGGUCUGCCCAUCGAUUAUAGCUCGAUGGUAAUAAAAAUACUGUAAUACUGUAUAUAUAGACUCUCUGCUCUCUUGACUGGAAGAAAGAAAUAUUCAAUUGAAUAUGAAAUGCUGAUAAUGAGAAUAUUGUAACGUACAAGGCUAGAAAAAUAUUCGUAACUUGCGAGACUAGCAAAAUAUACGUAAAUUCUGGGAUAUAAAUUUUUUUUAUGACUCGUUAUCAAACUUGUGUAACGACGAGAUCAUGCCAAAAUAAAGGAAGAGCUUAGCCUUAACAUACCUGAACAACAGCUGAAAGCCCUUAAGCAGAAGUUUACUCAACUCAUGAGUCGGUGAUAAUACAGAACUUUAGUUUAACUUGUCUCUUGUGCUUCGUUUCUCAGUCGAAUUAGUGAAUUCCUUGACAACCAUUCUAAACAAAAAUACAUUUUCUUUCGUGAUACAAGAUUACUAGCAUAGACCUUUGGUAGGAUACAGUAGAUGACAGCUCCAAUAAUUGCCAUAGAUAGAUCCAUGGAUAUGGCUAGAUGCUGCUGGAUAUUCAGAAUUUGAUCAAGCAAACUACCGUUCUCAAAGCUUCUAAGCUUUCCACCUAGUUUUAACCGCUUUCCAUUUCUUUAGCAAUAAGUUCUUUUUCUGUUGCUUUACCCUCUUGUCUUCUUCCCAUGUGGUGUUCUCAAUACUGUAUUUUUUUACAUUCUAACUUACUAAGGUUUUCAAGACAAAUAUGCCUUCAUACUCACAGUUAGAUACAAUUCCAACGACCUACAUGACAAAUUAAUGUCUUUUACUAGAUUUAGUUUAAAACUAAAAUAUUCAAACUACUAUAUCACAAAAAGUGCGUGGUUGUCUGGUAGAUAAGUAUGUUACACUUCUUAAGUUGUCUUCAGGAGUACUACUCAUUCUUAAUAAAAACCAAAAAGUGGUACAAAAAGAAAAGUAAAAAAAAUACUAUGUGGCUAGAAUUUUGCCGUGUAUAUAGAAAACUAAAGUCUUCUGUGUAUAGUUUUAACUACUCCAUAGAAAGCAUUAAUAUCCCCUGUUCCGGCUGUCCGUUUCAACUCUAGCUCCAUUUCUCAAUAUAGUUAAUUAACCACACUGAACACUAUUGAAUAUAAUAGAUAUAAAUAGAGUCCUGUGAGAUCCUAAAACUGAAGCUUUGUUACUACCGAAGAAUAUGCACACUACUGCGAAAAUUCUUGCUAGACCUGGGAAGUUUCGAAAUUCACACUCAGCCACCAAAAUAUUUGGAUUUUGUAAUAUUAAAUCUAUAUUUUAUACAUAUGAUUCUACCAUGUUCUUUAUUUCAUUUUAAAAUAACUAGUUGAGAUACAUAUGUGGUAGGGAAGCAAACGAAGAUUUAUGUAAAAGGAAUCCCUCUUUCAUCAGUGAAAGAUCCACUUUACAAACACAUGAAAUAAAAGAUGAAAUGGGAUUAUCUCUUAAAUAUGAAAGUCAGAGUGAUGAGCUUACUCCAAUAUUAUCUCAUAUUGCUGCAAAAGCUCAAGCAAGAGCCCUAAAUAUUCAGAAGCAGACUCCUUUGAAAAGAAAGGUUUCAGAUUGUGAUUUUGAGGUACUUGUUUCAUAUCGGUGUUGACAUUAAUCUCCUUUGUACCAUUUUCCAAGUUAUAUUAUUAUUACUACCAUAUAGUUCUGCU
rnacentral:lncRNA from 1 species